rnacentral:lncRNA from 10 species
CCAACAUAUCCCCAUGACUCAUCCUCUCAUGUUUGUUGGGGCUAUUAUUUAAAAGUUGGUUUUUUUCAUGAGAGCUCUCCUGGCAGCUGCUAUGGGUUGAACUCUGCCCAAAAAAAGAUACGUUGAAGUCGUAAUCCUCAACAGCUCAGAAUGUAAUCUUAUUUGGGAAUAGGAUAACUGCAGGUAUAAUUAGUUAAGAUGAGGUUGUACUGCAUUAGGGUGGGUCCCUAUGUCAAUAUGACUGGCCCUUGUAAGAAACUGACCAUGUGAAUACAGACACACAGAGACAGCACCUUGCAUGGGACAAUGAAGGUGAAAUUAUGCUACUGCAAGCCAAGGAAUAUGAAAGAUUGCCAGCAAACCACCAGAAGCUAGGAUGAGGUCUCCAGGAUCUCCAGUGAGUUCAAGAAGAACAGGACAUUUCCAAGGCCUUGCAAAGGGGGUUGCUGUCAUUGGAUUUCUAAGAAAAUUGGCCCAAUUAUAUGUCUGGGCACUUCCCUAGACUGCAGAAGUCAGUAGAAAAGGAGGAGGGGAACAAAGGAAAGAUCAAGAGAAACAGGCAAAGAAGGCCUUAUUGCUUUGUGGUCAUAAAGAGAGAGACAUGUUAGUUGGCUUCACGCUUCUCAUUGGGUAAAGUGGUUGUGCAAUUUGGCUUGAUAUCUACUCAGCUAACAAAAAUAUAUCUAUUGUGUUCUAAGACUGCAAAGCACUCUUUGUGAAAUAUAUGAUACUAUAAUAAGCUGUACUAUUUUGCUGGCAAUAAGCUUCAAAACAAUUUACAAGCAUUUCUUUCUUCGUUCAGAACCACCUAGUAGUGAUGGAGGGAAAAUUACGUAAUUCCUCAAGAACCGUAUUUCAAAUCAAAAGGACUUAUUUAGACAAUGUCAACUUCUGUUUUGUUUAUUUCUUUUUUAAAGCAGCCUACUAUAUGAAAAAAAUCAAAGCUUUGGCAAUGUUUCUUUGAUAACUGAUCUAUCAUAAAAUGGAUAAAAAUAAAAGAAACAGCCAUUUGCAACUGACUGCAAUCAUGAUACAGCUGUUUUCUUUUUACAAGUAAAUAAAUCAAUGAACACAUAGUAGUUAAGGCUAUUGUGGAGCACAGUUCUAAGUGACUCUCCUACAGACAAGUUCAGCAAUUUUUCAACAUAUUUCCAUGGUCCAUUCUUAGCUAAAAAUCUCCACUUUUUUGCUCCUGCAAGCAGUCAUUCAACUAAUGAGUUUUAUGAAGACCUGUCGUUCAUUUGGCCUAUACUAAAGAAGUAAUUUAACAUUGCAUAAACAAAAAGAGGCUUUAACAAACACUAUAGGAAAAGAAAAUUCAUCCACCCAUAAAUUCAGUCCUUUACUCCUUACUAAAUGAAAUCUUCAGAUGAUAUAAUUUCUUUUCCAAUAUAGAGGCUGUUAUUUACUUUUGCGUUUAAAGGCUAGACAUUUUCUGCUUCUACUAUCUUUGAACAUUGCUAUAAUGUUAAAUAUUUGAGGAGUUGCCUCCGAACUUGCUGAUGAUAGGAAAUACUUCAAAGGGAGUCUGUUUCCUUCUAUAAAGGAAAAUA